UACGUAGGGUGCAAGCGUUUGUCCGGAAUUAUUGGGCGUAAAGAGCUCGUAGGCGGUCUGUCGCGUCGGCUGUGAAAACCUGGGGCUUAACCCCGGGCCUGCAGCCGAUACGGGCAGACUAGAGUUCGGCAGGGGAGACUGGAAUUCCUGGUGUAGCGGUGAAAUGCGCAGAUAUCAGGAGGAACACCGGUGGCGAAGGCGGCACUCUGGGCCGAUACUGACACUGAGGAGCGAAAGCGUGGGGAGCGAACAGG
rnacentral:rRNA from 1 species